GAUGAACGCUGGCGGCGUGCUUAACACAUGCAAGUCGAACGGUGAACGAGGGAGCUUGCUCCCUCCGGAUCAGUGGCGAACGGGUGAGUAACACGUGAGCAAUCUGCCCCGAACUCUGGGAUAGGCGCUGGAAACGGCGUCUAAUACCGGAUACGACGCGCGAAGGCAUCUUCUGCGCGUGGAAAGAAUUUCGGUUCGGGAUGAGCUCGCGGCCUAUCAGCUAGUUGGUGAGGUAACGGCUCACCAAGGCGACGACGGGUAGCCGGCCUGAGAGGGUGACCGGCCACACUGGGACUGGGACACGGCCCAGACUCCUACGGGAGGCAGCAGUGGGGAAUAUUGCACAAUGGGCGCAAGCCUGAUGCAGCAACGCCGCGUGAGGGACGACGGCCUUCGGGUUGUAAACCUCUUUUAGUAGGGAAGAAGCGAAAGUGACGGUACCUGCAGAAAAAGCACCGGCUAACUACGUGCCAGCCGCCGCCGUAAAAC
rnacentral:rRNA from 1 species